GCUGGUGUAGCACAGUAGGUAGUGCAGCUGAUUCGUAAUCAGCAGGUCGCGUGUUCGAGUCACGUCACCAGCUCCA
rnacentral:tRNA from 1 species